UCCGUAGGUGAACCUGCGGAAGGAUCAUUAGUGAAUAUUAGCGCAUCUCUUCGGAGAGCGUGACCUCCACUUUCUAACUCUGUGCAUUUAUUGGCGGAAACUGUACUUUGAGACUUUAUGUCUCUCUUGCAGCUCUGCGGCUCAUUUUAAACACUAGUAAAAGUAUGUAACGAAAUAUCGAAACAAAAAAAAACUUUCAACAACGGAUCUCUUGGCUUGCUCAUCGAUGAAGAACGCAGCGAAAUGUGAUAAGUAAUGUGAAUUGCAGAAUUCAGUGAAUCAUCGAAUCUUUGAACGCACCUUGCGCUCCGUGGUAUUCCGCGGAGCAUGUCUGUUUGAGUGUCAUGAACUCUUCAACCCUCCAAUUUCUUGUGAAUUGAUAGGUGUUUGGAUUUUGAGUGUUGCUGGUCUUUUAGAUCGAGCUCAUUCGUAAUAUAUUAGCAUCUCUAAUUCGAACUCGGAUUGACUCAGUGUAAUAGACUAUUCGCUGAGGACACGCUCUAGUAGUGUGGCCGAAUGAGAUCUCAGUAGAAGCUUCCAACUACUUUAGUCAACUUUAGAUUAGACCUCAGAUCAGGCAGGAUUACCCGCUGAACUUAAGCAUAUCAAUAAGCGGAGGAAAAGAAACUAACAAGGAUUCCCCUAGUAACGGCGAGUGAAGCGGGAAGAGCUCAAAUUUGUAAUCUGGCACUUUCAGUGUCCGAGUUGUAAUCUCGAGAAGUAUUUUCCGCGCCAGACUGCAUACAAGUCUGUUGGAAUACAGCGUCAUAGUGGUGAGAACCCCGUAACUGAUGCAGAUGCCCGGUGCUUUGUGAUAUACUUUCGAAGAGUCGAGUUGUUUGGGAAUGCAGCUCAAAUUGGGUGGUAAAUUCCAUCUAAAGCUAAAUAUUGGAGCAAGACCGAUAGCGAACAAGUACCGUGAGGGAAAGAUGAAAAGCACUUUGGAAAGAGAGUUAACAGUACGUGAAAUUGUUGGAAGGGAAACGCUUGAAGU
rnacentral:sRNA from 1 species